CGUACUGGCAUUGUUGGUUUCUCCCUUCUGACGAACCAUGAUGUCAUUUAUUUGGUGUUGUGGGGAAUCAGGACUGUUACUUUGAAAAAAUUAGAGUGUUUAAAGCAGGCUCACGCUUGAAUACAUUAGCAUGGAAUAAUGAAAUAGGACGUUUGAUUCUAUUUUGUUGGUUUCUAGGAUCGACGUAAUGAUUAAUAGGGAUAGUUGGGGGCAUUAAUAUUCAAUUGUCAGAGGUGAAAUUCUUGGAUUUAUUGAAGACUAACUACUGCGAAAGCAUUUGCCAAGGAUGUUUUCAUUAAUCAAGAACGAAAGUUAGGGGAUCGAAGACGAUCAGAUACCGUCGUAGUCUUAACCAUAAACUAUGCCGACUAGGGAUCGGAUGAUGUUAAUUUUUUAAUGACUCAUUCGGCGCCUUACG
rnacentral:rRNA from 1 species